UCGAGAUGAGCGGGUAGCGGAGGGGGGCUUGCUUCACCGCCGAUCCACUGAGCUAAUUGUGGCUAGCGCUGCGACACUCUGUGUUUUGUCUUUUAUUCGGCUACUCGCCGGGUGUGUUGUGGAUCCGAUCCGCGGUCUCGUUGCCCCCUCGGCUGGCCGCCGGCCGCACCACGACAGGACACGGUCACACAGCCGAAGCAAUGGCAGGCGGUGCGGACUAGCCUAGCCGGAGAGAGCUAGCGCCGACACCGACAACAUCGCUCCCUGUGAGUUGGGGAAACCGAGAGGCAGACGCGGGGAUGCCGAGCGCUAAAUCACAGGGGUGUACCUGAAUAACUGGACAUUUACCUCACCGUCCUGGAGGCUGUACCGGUCAGCACCACACCGCCGGACUACCCGCGAUAUUUACAGUUUUCUUACCUGACCGGGACUCGCCUGAUCUGAGGAGGAUCUUCAUCCACAACCGGAGACGCGAUUCUAUCCCUGAGAGAUAAUCGCACCCGGCAGAAGGGAGCUGAUUCCGGGGGGGAGGGGGUUCCACCGGGGUCCACCGGGGUUUUUUGUGGGGUAUUGUGGAGAUUUAGGACGGGAACCGAGCAGAGACGAGAGGCUGCCGCUAAUGGCUCCUGCAGCCGCCGCUGAUUCGGGAACCCGGGAUCGAACCACCGCCGCCUGAUCUACUUAAUACAUCCGAGAGAAACAGACACUGAGUGAGUGAGACAGCAGGACGGACAGACAGGUAUAAAAACAGGGGACAGGACAGGACAGGUAAAGAGCAGGUGAAGGAACCACAGGAAGGCAAGAGAAGAAGGAGUUUGAGAAGAGCAGUGGUGAGGGUUACAUGAGACCGGGUUGAGUUCUGUUCAGGGGUUCUGAAGAGGAGCAGAGAGAAGACGUCAUCACAGAGCGCCAGAUCAUCAGAAAGAGUCACGCAGAGAGCAGGACACACUCAUGAUACGUCACGUUCACCAAACACACGUGUUCUUUAUUAUGUGUAUUCAUGCUCACUUACAUUUCACACCCAGAUUUCAUCCUCAUGUACAGAACCAAACAGGAACUGAUUCCAGAGCUGUACGGGUUCCUUUUUAUUCUCAGGAUGGACCAUCGGUACCAACACAUGAGCCUGGGUGGGUGGAACUAGAAGAAGAUCAGAACAGUUUAUUAGAGACACUGUUAAGCUGAUCCUGAAGAGCCCUGAAUCAUCACCUGAAAUCAGACAAUUACAGACACCCCAUAAAGUGAUCAUCACUGUUUCUUUUCUGAUGUGAAAUAAAAUGUUUUUGUUGUUUUUAUAA